UACGGGGGGGGGCAAGCGUUGUUCGGAAUUACUGGGCGUAAAGGGCUCGUAGGCGGCCAACUAAGUCAUACGUGAAAUCCCUCGGCUUAACCGGGGAACUGCGUCUGAUACCGGAUGGCUUGAGUUCGGGAGAGGGAUGCGGAAUUCCAGGUGUAGCGGUGAAAUGCGUAGAUAUCUGGAGGAACACCGGUGGCGAAGGCGGCAUCCUGGACCGAUACUGACGCUGAGGAGCGAAAGCCAGGGGAGCAAACGGG
rnacentral:rRNA from 1 species